AUCUGCUCACUGAAAUUAAAGAGCCGCAAUUCGUGCUAAGGUAGCAUAAUCACUCGUCUUUUAAUUGAGGACUAGAACAAAUGAUUUAACAUUUCAAUUAAUAUUCAUAAUUUAAUAAUCAAAUUUAUUCUAAAUGUAAAAAAACAUUUAUUUCUUAGAAAGACGAUAAGACCCUAUUGAACUUUACUUUAGUUAAACUGGGGCAGUUAAUUAAUUAUUAUUUUAAUUCAAAUUUAAAUAAAAAUAUCUAAUAUUAUUAAAUAAUCCAGUUACCAUAGGGAUAACAGCAUAAUUAUUUUUCAAAGCCCAUAUACAAAAAAUAGAUUAUGACCUCGAUGUUGAAUUAAUAACCUAAUUAGAGCAAGAUUUAAUAAAGGAAGUCUGUUCGACUUUUAAAAAAUUACGUGAUCUGAGUUCAG
rnacentral:rRNA from 1 species